rnacentral:misc_RNA from 1 species
AAACCAUCUCUCUCUGUCUCUUUUUCUAUGAGUUUUGGAUCCAACGUGUCCAAGCUCUGGAUCUUCUUUGAAGCCCCAUUGGAUCUUUCAAGACUGAUACACCUACAGUUCACAGCAUGGCUCCACUCUUGUACUUGAGAUUCAAGAAGGUACUUCUGCUUUAUCUCGUUUUCUUCCUGUUUGUUUCUGUUCUUCUUUGUGCCUCCUCAGAUUGUUCUCAGCUGGAAAGGAAAGGGUUUAUUGGUAGAAGAAGAAUGUUAGAGGUGGAAAAAGAUCAAGACCAGCUGCCUAAGAAAAAAAGUACCAAUUCUUCUACCAAGAACCAAACCAAGCUUAUCAAACCCAAUCUUUCCUCUUCAAAAAACC